AGCAGUCGCCGCGGUAAUACGAAGGGGGCUAGCGUUGUUCGGAAUUACUGGGCGUAAAGCGCACGUAGGCGGAUAUUUAAGUCAGGGGUGAAAUCCCGCAGCUCAACUGCGGAACUGCCUUUGAUACUGGGUAUCUUGAGUAUGGAAGAGGUUAGUGGAAUUGCGAGUGUAGAGGUGAAAUUCGUAGAUAUUCGCAGGAACACCAGUGGCGAAGGCGGCUAACUGGUCCAUAACUGACGCUGAGGUGCGAAAGCGUGGGGAGCAAACAGGAUUAGAUACCCCCGUAGUCUGUCUCUUAUACAC
rnacentral:rRNA from 1 species